UAAUAUAUUGUUUUUGCUUGUUUGUUUCCAGGACUGAAAAUGGUGCUCAUCUUUGUGCUCCUCUCUGCAAUCACGCAUCUAUCAAGUGCUAACUCACCACCAAAGUUUACAAAAACUAUUGACCUUGCUGUGAUACCCGAGAACACGCCAAUUGGCACAUCUGUAUUUCGCCUAGA